GAUCCCAAUGCACUAAUUAGAUGUGCUAAAGAUAUAGACCCUUCAAUUAUGUAUAGUAAAAAUGGCUUCUCAUAUCCUAUUCUAGUUUAUCAAAGCAUUUACAUUGUACGCUGAGAUUCCUAGAGGGCCAGUUAUAUGAGAACUGGAAUGAAUUUGCCACAAAACUCCACUCGGCAACACGUAGUCCAUGCUCAUAUGAUUCACAUUGAUUGAGUGGUUUAUCAUGUACCCAUAAGUAACACAUUUGUCUUGUGCCUUCUGAAUAUGGCAUUGGCAAUAUCAAUCUCUAGUCAACACCAUAAAAGUAAUGUUUUUCUGUAUGCCUGUGAUUCAAUGACAUUUGCAUGGAAGAAAAAAUAAUUCAAAUACCCAACAGACAUCUUCAUCAGAAUCCACAUCAAAGAUUUACUACUAAAAGUCUUUGUUUUG
rnacentral:misc_RNA from 1 species